rnacentral:rRNA from 1 species
CACUAUCGUUAACUGAAUACAUAGGUUAACGAGGCGAACCGGGGGAACUGGAAACAUCUAAGUACCCCGAGGAAAAGAAAUCAACCGAGAUUCCCCCAGUAGCGGCGAGCGAACGGGGAGCAGCCCAGAGUCUGAAUCAGCUUGUGUGUUAGUGGAACGGUCUGGAAAGUCCGACGGUACAGGGUGAUAGUCCCGUACACCAAAAUGCACAGGCUGUGAACUCGAAGAGUAGGGCGGGACACGUGGUAUCCUGUCUGAAUAUGGGGGGACCAUCCUCCAAGGCUAAAUACUCCUGACUGACCGAUAGUGAACCAGUACCGUGAGGGAAAGGCGAAAA